ACGGAGGGUGCAAGCGUUGUCCGGAUUUAUUGGGUUUAAAGGGUGCGUAGGCGGAUAAUUAAGUCAGUGGUGAAAUACUCCGGCUCAACCGGAGAGGUGCCAUUGAUACUGGUUAUCUUGAGUACAGACGAGGUAGGCGGAAUUUAUGGUGUAGCGGUGAAAUGCAUAGAUACCAUAAAGAACACCGAUAGCGAAGGCAGCUUACUGGACUGUAACUGACGCUGAGGCACGAAAGCGUGGGUAGCGAACAGG
rnacentral:rRNA from 1 species